UACAGAGGUCCCAAGCGUUGUUCGGAUUCACUGGGCGUAAAGGGUGCGUAGGCGGUCGGGUAAGUCUGAUGUGAAAUCUCACAGCUUAACUGUGAAACUGCAUUGGAUACUAUCCGGCUCGAGGAAUGGAGGGGAGACUGGAAUACUUGGUGUAGCAGUGAAAUGCGUAGAUAUCAAGUGGAACACCCAGUGGCGAAGGCGAGUCUCUGGACAUUUCCUGACGCUGAGGCACGAAAGCCAGGGGAGCAA
rnacentral:rRNA from 1 species